rnacentral:rRNA from 1 species
UGAGGAAUAUUGGUCAAUGGGCGAGAGCCUGAACCAGCCAUCCCGCGUGCAGGAAGACGGCCCUAUGGGUUGUAAACUGCUUUUGUGCAGGAAGAAUGUACUCAUCGUGAUGGGUAUUGACGGUACUGCAUGAAUAAGCACCGGCUAACUCCGUGCCAGCAGCCGCGGUAAUACGGAGGGUGCAAGCGUUAUCCGGAUUUAUUGGGUUUAAAGGGUGCGUAGGCGGUAGAAUAAGUCAGUGGUGAAAAGCUGCAGCUCAACUGUAGUCCUGCCAUUGAAACUGUUUAACUUGAGUAACCAUGAGGUAGGCGGAAUGUGUAGUGUAGCGGUGAAAUGCUUAGAUAUUACACAGAACACCGAUUGCGUAGGCAGCUUACUAGAGGUUUACUGACGCUGAUGCACGAAAGCGUGGGGAUCAAACA